ACGAAGUCAACUCUGGCACGGCAGAGUCCCCACUAUGGUUCCACAUCAGCUGCCUGGAGCUUCCUUGUCACAAGGUGUUUCAGGCACAUCAGACUAGAAGCUAGAUUACCUGCGGCCUUAAAGCGCGGAUCAAGAAACAUGGCCAGGCUGGCCACUACAUCAAAGUCGUGCUCCCCAAUGCGAGUCUUGGUACAUUUUAUGAGAUUGCUAACAAACCCCGAGUUGCCUUUGCAACCUUCGAGGCAAUGCAGCAUUCCAAAAAUAAUUGGAAGUAUAAACCUUGGUG
rnacentral:lncRNA from 1 species